rnacentral:rRNA from 1 species
CGGGUGCCGGCGAGUGGCGAACGGGUGAGUAAUAUAUCGGAACGUACCUUUCAGUGGGGGAUAACGUAGCGAAAGUUACGCUAAUACCGCAUAUUCUGUGAGCAGGAAAGCAGGGGGAUCGCAAGACCUUGCGCUGAUUGAGCGGCCGAUAUCAGAUUAGCUAGUUGGUGAGGUAAAGGCUCACCAAGGCGACGAUCUGUANCGGGUCUGAGAGGAUGAUCCGCCACACUGGAACUGAGACACGGUCCAGACUCCUACGGGAGGCAGCAUGGGGAAUUUUGGACAAUGGGCGCAAGCCUGAUCCAGCCAUGCCGCGUGAGUGAAGAAGGCCUUCGGGUUGUAAAGCUCUUUCGGCCGGGAAGAAAUCGCACAGGUUAAUACCCUGUGUGGAUGACGGUACCGGAAUAAGAAGCACCGGCUAACUACGUG